rnacentral:rRNA from 2 species
GAAUGCUGACAUAAGUAACGAUAAAGCGGGUGAAAAGCCCGCUCGCCGGAAGACCAAGGGUUCCUGUCCAACGUUAAUCGGGGCAGGGUGAGUCGACCCCUAAGGCGAGGCCGAAAGGCGUAGUCGAUGGGAAACGGGUUAAUAUUCCCGUACUUGGUGUUACUGCGAAGGGGGGACGGAGAAGGCUAUGUUGGCCGGGCGACGGUUGUCCCGGUUUAAGCGUGUAGGUGUGUGUUCCAGGUAAAUCCGGUUCACUUUAACACUGAGGCGUGACGACGAGGCACUACGGUGCUGAAGCAACAAAUGCCCUGCUUCCAGGAAAAGCCUCUAAGCAUCAGGUAACAUCAAAUCGUACCCCAAACCGACACAGGUGGUCAGGUAGAGAAUACCAAGGCGCUUGAGAGAACUCGGGUGAAGGAACUAGGCAAAAUGGUGCCGUAACUUCGGGAGAAGGCACGCUGACACGUAGGUGAAGUGAUUUACUCAUGGAGCUGAAGUCAGUCGAAGAUACCAGCUGGCUGCAACUGUUUAUUAAAAACACAGCACUGUGCAAACACGAAAGUGGACGUAUACGGUGUGACGCCUGCCCGGUGCCGGAAGGUUAAUUGAUGGGGUCAGCGCAAGCGAAGCUCCUGAUCGAAGCCCCGGUAAACGGCGGCCGUAACUAUAACGGUCCUAAGGUAGCGAAAUUCCUUGUCGGGUAAGUUCCGACCUGCACGAAUGGCGUAAUGAUGGCCAGGCUGUCUCCACCCGAGACUCAGUGAAAUUGAACUCGCUGUGAAGAUGCAGUGUACCCGCGGCAAGACGGAAAGACCCCGUGAACCUUUACUAUAGCUUGACACUGAACAUUGAGCCUUGAUGUGUAGGAUAGGUGGGAGGCUUUGAAGUGUGGACGCCAGUCUGCAUGGAGCCGACCUUGAAAUACCACCCUUUAAUGUUUGAUGUUCUAACGUGGACCCGUUACCCGGGUUGCGGACAGUGUCUGGUGGGUAGUUUGACUGGGGCGGUCUCCUCCUAAAGAGUAACGGAGGAGCACGAAGGUUGGCUAAUCCUGGUCGGACAUCAGGAGGUUAGUGCAAUGGCAUAAGCCAGCUUGACUGCGAGCGUGACGGCGCGAGCAGGUGCGAAAGCAGGUCAUAGUGAUCCGGUGGUUCUGAAUGGAAGGGCCAUCGCUCAACGGAUAAAAGGUACUCCGGGGAUAACAGGCUGAUACCGCCCAAGAGUUCAUAUCGACGGCGGUGUUUGGCACCUCGAUGUCGGCUCAUCACAUCCUGGGGCUGAAGUAGGUCCCAAGGGUAUGGCUGUUCGCCAUUUAAAGUGGUACGCGAGCUGGGUUUAGAACGUCGUGAGACAGUUCGGUCCCUAUCUGCCGUGGGCGCUGGAGAACUGAGGGGGGCUGCUCCUAGUACGAGAGGACCGGAGUGGACGCAUCACUGGUGUUCGGGUUGUCAUGCCAAUGGCACUGCCCGGUAGCUAAAUGCGGAAGAGAUAAGUGCUGAAAGCAUCUAAGCACGAAACUUGCCCCGAGAUGAGUUCUCCCUGAGACUUAAAGUCUCCUGAAGGAACGUUGAAG